CACAAAGUCACAUCCUUAGUGUCUUCAUAUAUGUACUUAGGGUAAUGAUGACCAUCGCAUCCACCGUCUUUCAUACCCCUGUGCCCCCUUCCUUCCCCUCCCACCCCUUUUCCCCUUUUCCCUAUCUAGAGUUUAUUUAAUCCUCCCAUCCCCUCCCCUCAGCAUAUUAUAAAUCAGCAUCCUUAAAUCAGAGAAAUAAUUCAAUGUUUGUUUUUUGGGGAUUGGUUAAUUUCACUUAGCAUUAUAUUCUCCAGCUCCAUCCAUUUACCUACAAAUGCCAUGAUUUUAUUCUCUUUUAUUGCUGAGUGGUAUUCCAUUGUGCAUAUAUGCCACAUUUUCAUUAUCCAUUUAUCUACUGAAGGGCAUCUAGGUUGGUUCCACAGUUUAGCUAUUAUGAAUUGUGCUGCUAUAAACAUUGAUGUGGCUGUGACCCUAUAGUGUGCUGUUUUUAAGUCCUUUGGGUAUAGACUGAGAAGUGGGAUAGCUGGGUCAAAUAGAGGUUCCAUUCCCAGUUUUCCAAGGAUUCUCCAUACUGCUUUCUAUAUUGGCUACACCAAUUUAUAGUCCCACCAGCAAUACAAAAGACAACUCUAGAUUACCCCUAAGUCAGAAUUUUCUUACAGGUAAACUGGUUAAUCUCCUUUUCAAAUGAUAUGUCCUGAUAAACAGCAAAAUAAAAAACAUUAAAAUCAUUGUAAGACACUUAUUAAAAAAUAAUACUGUUAAUGACUUUGUAGGAAACUUCCGUGUUCUAAUACAUAAUAUCAUGAAAUGAGAGUGUUAGGGAUAAUGUUUCCUUUCUAUACUUUUUAGUAUUUUUAAAAUAUUUCCCCCCAAAAAAACAUUAUUUUUGAAA
rnacentral:lncRNA from 1 species